GACGAACGCUGGCGGCGUGCUUAACACAUGCAAGUCGAGCGGUAAGGCCCUUUCGGGGGUACACGAGCGGCGAACGGGUGAGUAACACGUGGGUGACCUGCCCUCAGCUCUGGGAUAAGCCUGGGAAACUGGGUCUAAUACCGGAUAUGACUCCAUGACGCAUGUUGUGGGGUGGAAAGCCUUGUGCGGCUGAGGAUGGGCCCGCGGCCUAUCAGCUUGUUGGUGGGGUGANGGCCUACCAAGGCGACGACGGGUAGCCGGCCUGAGAGGGCGACCGGCCACACUGGGACUGAGACACGGCCCAGACUCCUACGGGAGGCAGCAGUGGGGAAUCCUGCGCAAUGGGCGAAAGCCUGGCGCAGCGACGCCGCGUGAGGGAUGACGGCCUCGG
rnacentral:rRNA from 1 species